ACACAUGCAAGUCGAGCGGCAGCGGGAAAGUAGCUUGCUACUUUUGCCAGGCGAGCGGCGGACGGGUGAGUAAUGCCUGGGAAAUUGCCCAGUCGAGGGGGAUAACAGUUGGAAACGACUGCUAAUACCGCAUACGCCCUACGGGGGAAAGCAGGGGACCUUCGGGCCUUGCGCGAUUGGAUAUGCCCAGGUGGGAUUAGCUAGUUGGUGAGGUAAUGGCUCACCAAGGCGACGAUCCCUAGCUGGUCUGAGAGGAUGAUCAGCCACACUGGAACUGAGACACGGUCCAGACUCCUACGGGAGGCAGCAGUGGGGAAUAUUGCACAAUGGGGGAAACCCUGAUGCAGCCAUGCCGCGUGGGUGAAGAAGGCCUUCC
rnacentral:rRNA from 1 species